AGCCCUCUGUAUCCGUGUUAAGAUUUCGUCAGUGAUCAACCCAUUGGCACUGGCUGAUGGUACUUCCAAAAUAAGUGAAGCG
rnacentral:pre_miRNA from 1 species